CGAAAUGCGAUAAGUAAUGUGAAUUGCAGAAUUCAGUGAAUCAUCGAAUCUUUGAACGCACAUUGCGCCCCUUGGUAUUCCAUGGGGCAUGCCUGUUCGAGCGUCAUUUGUACCCUCAAGCUCUGCUUGGUGUUGGGUGUUUGUCCCGUCUCCGCGCGUGGACUCGCCCCAAAGUGAUUGGCAGCCGGCGUACUGGUCCCGGAGCGCAGCACAUGUCGCGCAAACGAGUGCCUUGGUACGGCGGCGUCCAUAAGCCCCUCUCUCACGCUCUUGACCUCGGAUCAGGUAGGGAUACCCGCUGAACUUAAGC
rnacentral:misc_RNA from 1 species